AGGCACAUCCGGCCUAAACUCGUGGUCAGCAGUCGCGUAAUCGGAGGAUGCAAGCGUAUCCGGAAUAAUGGGCGUUAAGCGUUCGGCAGUGGUCAUCAAGUCUGCUGUCAAAGACGAGCUCAACUCGGGCAGCCAGUGAAACCUGUGACUAGAGUACGUAGGGGUAGAGGGAAUCCAGUGUAGCGGUGAAAUGCGUAGAGAUUGGGAAGAACACCAGUGGCGAAGGCGCUCUACUGGGCCGUAACUGACGCUCAGGGACGAAAGCUAGGGGAGCGAAAGGGAUUAGAUACCCCUGUAGUCCUAGCUGUAAACGAUGGAUACUAGGCGUUGCUUGUAUCGACCCGAGCAGUGCCGUAGCUAACGCGUUAAGUAUCCCGCCUGGGGAGUACGCACGCAAGUGUGAAACUCAAAGGAAUUGACGGGGGCCCGCACAAGCGGUGGAGUAUGUGGUUAAUUCGAUGCAACGCGAAGAACCUUACCAGGGCUUGACGUGUCCGGAAUCUCGGGGAAACUCGAGAGUGCCUUCGGGAGCCGGAACACAGGUGGUGCAUGGCUGUCGUCAGCUAGUGUCGUGAGAUGUUGGGUUAAGUCCCGCAACGAGCGCAACCCUCGUCCUUAGUUGCCAGCCUUAAGUGGGGCACUCUAGGGAGACUGCCGGUGACAAGCCGGAGGAAGGUGGGGAUGACGUCAAGUCAGCAUGCCCCUUACGUCCUGGGCGACACACGUACUACAAUGGUCGGGACAAAGGGCAGCGAACUCGCGAGAGUAAGCGAAUCUCAGCAAACCCGGCCUCAGUUCAGAUUGCAGGCUGCAACUCGCCUGCAUGAAGGAGGAAUCGCUAGUAAUCGCAGGUCAGCAUACUGCGGUGAAUUCGUUCCCGGGCCUUGUACACACCGCCCGUCACACCAUGGAAGCUGGCCACGCCCGAAGUCGUUACCCUAACCUUUAGGGGAGGGGGACGCCGAAGGCAGGGCUAGUGACUGGGGUGAAGUCGUAACAAGGUAGCCGUACCGGAAGGUGUGGCUGGAUCACCUCCUUUUCAGGGAGACCUAACUCAAGUCAAAAGGCAAAAGUCAAAAAUCCAACUUUUGAACUUAGAGAAAUCCCAAGGUCGGACAGGAAAAAGGCAGCCUUCAAACUAUCAUAGGGUUCGGGAAAUGGGCUAUUAGCUCAGGUGGUUAG
rnacentral:sRNA from 1 species